AUUGAACGCUGGCGGCGUGCUUAACACAUGCAAGUCGAUCGGUAACAGGUGUAGCAAUACAUGCUGACGAAAGGCGGACGGGUGAGGAAUAUUUGGGAAUCUGCCCAUCAGCGGGGGACAACCCGGGGAAACCCGGGCUAAUACCGCAUACGCUCUACGGAGGAAAGCCGGGGACCGCAAGGCCUGGCACUGAUGGAUGAGCCCAAAUCGGAUUAGCUAGUUGGCGGGGUAACGGCCCACCAAGGCGACGAUCCGUAGCUGGUCUGAGAGGACGAUCAGCCACACGGGAACUGAGACACGGUACGGACUCCUACGGGAGGCGGCAGUGGGGAAUAUUGGACAAUGGGGGAAACCCUGAUCCAGCGACGCCGCGUGGGUGAAGAAGGCCUGCGGGUUGUAAAGCCCUUUCGGUAGGGACGAAAGCUCUUGCUCUAAUAAUGCAAGAGGUUGACUUAACCUACAUAAGAAGCACCGGCUAACUCUGUGCCAGCAGCCGCCGUAA
rnacentral:rRNA from 1 species